UUCCUCUUUCCCCUAUCUGGUCACUGUCUUCCUCGUUCCCCUCUCUGGUCAGUGUCUUCCUCUUUCCCCAGUCACUUCUUCUCACUCAUCUGUCCUAUCUCUGGUGACUCACCGCCCCACCUCACUCGAUAUCUCUGGUAUGGGUUGGGUUGGGUUAACCGUUGUCAUGUUAAUAUUUUCAAUUGACUGUUUAUGCACUUCUCAUAAUAGUUGUGAAAAGCCUCUGGCUAACCAACAGGCCAGAUUAGUCAGUGGUAUCGAUAUCUUGGUAUCCUCCAGUCUCAUGGCACCGGGCCGUUAGGCUUAGGAAGCGAUAAGUGGGAGGGGCGGCGGCAUAAUGCAAAAAAAUCACUGAACCCUUUGAAAAUCUAUAAUCAAUCAAUCUAAUGGCUGGGUUCUAAAGAGAGUAAGAUAACAUUGAUAGAGAAAGGAGACGGGUUGAAAGGGAGGGGGGCACUCUGUAAUCACAAUAAAUAAACGCAUGUCAAACUAAGAAAUCUUAGCACAGGCCUGCAUCAAUAAUAGCUUGUUAUUGUUAGGAUCAUGAACAAUCCAUCAGGUGUCCAACAGUUUGACUAUAAAUAACGCAACCAAAUCCAAUUCAAUAGCUAAAAUAUACUUUUUUUUUUUUUUUUU